GAUGAACGCUGGCGGCGUGCCUAAUACAUGCAAGUCGAGCGAACGGACGAGAAGCUUGCUUCUCUGAUGUUAGCGGCGGACGGGUGAGUAACACGUGGAUAACCUACCUAUAAGACUGGGAUAACUUCGGGAAACCGGAGCUAAUACCGGAUGAUAUUUUGAACCGCAUGGUUCAAAAGUGAAAGACGGUCUUGCUGUCACUUAUAGAUGGAUCCGCGCUGCAUUAGCUAGUUGGUAAGGUAACGGCUUACCAAGGCAACGAUGCAUAGCCGACCUGAGAGGGUGAUCGGCCACACUGGAACUGAGACACGGUCCAGACUCCUACGGGAGGCAGCAGUAGGGAAUCUUCCGCAAUGGGCGAAAGCCUGACGGAGCAACGCCGCGUGAGUGAUGAAGGUCUUCGGAUCGUAAAACCCUGUUAUUAGGGAAGAACAUAUGUGUAAGUAACUGUGCACAUCUUGACGGUACCUAAUCAGAAAGCCACGGCUAACUACGU
rnacentral:rRNA from 1 species